rnacentral:rRNA from 1 species
UACGAAGGGGGCUAGCGUUGCUCGGAAUCACUGGGCGUAAAGGGUGCGUAGGCGGGUUUUUAAGUCAGAGGUGAAAUCCUGGAGCUCAACUCCAGAACUGCCUUUGAUACUGGCGAGCUUGAGUUCGGGAGAGGUGAGUGGAACUGCGAGUGUAGAGGUGAAAUUCGUAGAUAUUCGCAAGAACACCAGUGGCGAAGGCGGCUCACUGGCCCGAUACUGACGCUGAGGUGCGAAAGCUAGGGGAGCGAACGGGG